rnacentral:rRNA from 1 species
CCUACGGGAGGCAGCAGUAAGGAAUAUUGGUCAAUGGGCGCAAGCCUGAACCAGCCAUGCCGCGUGCAGGAAGACGGCCCUAUGGGUUGUAAACUGCUUUUGAACAAGAGAAAACCUCGGUACGUGUACCGAGCUGAUAGUAUUGUUAGAAUAAGCAUCGGCUAACUUCGUGCCAGCAGCCGCGGUAAGACGAAGGAUGCAAGCGUUAUCCGGAUUCAUUGGGUUUAAAGGGUGCGUAGGCGGCCUGAUAAGUCAGUGGUGAAAUCUCUCAGCUUAACUGAGAAACUGCCAUUGAUACUGUCGGGCUUGAGUACAGAUGAUGUGGGCGGAAUAUGACAUGUAGUGGUGAAAUACUUAGAUAUGUCAUAGAACACCGAUUGCGAAGGCAGCUCACAAAACUGUAACUGACGCUGAGGCACGAAAGUGCGGGGAUCAAACAGGAUUAGAUACCCUGGUAGUCCGCACCGUAAACGAUGAUUACUCGUUGUUGGCAAUAUGACCGUCAGCGACCAAGCGAAAGCGANAAGUAAUCCACCUGGGGAGUACGCCGGCAACGGUUGAAACUUAAAUGAAUUGACCGGNGNGAGAGNGCGAGACGACACGAGGGAGAG